GAUAACGCUGGCGGCGCACAUAAGACAUGCAAGUCGAACGGACAGAAGUUCGAUUCUUUACGAUUGAAUGGAUGUUAGUGGCGGACUGGUGAGUAACACGUAAGCAACCUGCCUAUCAGAGGGGAAUAACAGUGAGAAAUCAUUGCUAAUACCGCAUAUGCUAACAGUAUCGCAUGAUACAGUUAGGAAAGGAGCAAUCCGCUGAUAGAUGGGCUUGCGUCUGAUUAGCUAGUUGGUGGGGUAACGGCCUACCAAGGCGACGAUCAGUAGCCGAGCUGAGAGGCUCAACGGCCACAUUGGGACUGAGACACGGCCCAG
rnacentral:rRNA from 1 species